UACGUAGGGCGCAAGCGUUUAUCCGGAAUUAUUGGGCGUAAAGAGCUCGUAGGCGGUUUGUCGCGUCUGCCGUGAAAAUCCAGGGCUUAACUCUGGACUGGCUUCCGAUACGGGCAGACUAGAGGUAUGCAGGGGAGAACGGAAUUCCUGGUGUAGCGGUGAAAUGCGCAGAUAUCAGGAGGAACACCGGUGGCGAAGGCGGUUCUCUGGGCAUUACCUGACGCUGAGGAGCGAAAGUGUGGGGAGCGAACAGG
rnacentral:rRNA from 1 species